CCCCUCCGAUGGGAUGCCACCUUGUCGUGGUGGAGGGGCUUAAGGGUGUGUCGGAGCACCUACUAAGAGCAUC
rnacentral:ribozyme from 1 species